rnacentral:rRNA from 1 species
AACGAACGCUGGCGGCGCGUCUUAAGCAUGCCAGUCGAACGGCCAGAGAGGAGCUUGCUUCUCUCCUAGAGUGGCGGACUGGUGAGGAACGCGUGGGUAAUCUACCCUUAAGAUGGGGAUAGCUGCUAGAAAUAGCAGGUAAUACCGAAUACACUCGGCAUAUCCCAAGAGGUGUUGAGGAAAGGAAGCUCCGGCUUCGCUUGAGGAUGAGAUUCCGGCUCAUUAGCUAGUUGGGUAGGUAAAGGCCCACCAAGGCGACGAUGGGUAUCCGGCCUGAGAGGGUGAACGGGCACAAUGGGACUGGGAUACGGCCCAAACUCCUAAGGGAGGCAGCAGCUAAGAAUAUUCCGCAAUGGACGGUAGUCUGACGGAGCGACGCCGCGUGGAUGAAGAAGGCUGAAAAGUUGUAAAAUCUUUUUGUUGAUGAAGAAUAAGGGUGAGAGGGAAUGCUCAUCUGAUGACGGGAAUCGACGAAUAAGCCCCGGCUAAUUACGUG